CCCCCCGUCAGGUAAGUCGACAUUGAUUCAGCUGAUUCCGCGUUUUUAUGAUGUAAGCGAAGGCGAAGUUUUAAUCGAUGGCGUUAACGUCAAAGACUACCGCUUAAAGAGUUUACGGGAAAAAAUUGGUUAUAUUCCACAAAAAGCGCUCCUUUUUACCGGUACGAUUGCUGAAAACUUACGCUAUGGUAAAGAAGACGCAACACAAGCUGAAAUGCAGCGGGCCGUUGAUAUUGCUCAGGCCGCAGAUUUUAUUAGUCAAACACCUAAAGGAUUUGACGCUCUUUUAUCAGAAGGGGGAACGAACUUUUCUGGUGGACAAAAACAACGUUUAGCGAUUGCUCGUGCGAUUAUUCGUAAUCCGGAAAUUUAUAUAUUUGACGAUAGUUUUUCCGCAUUAGAUUAUCAAACAGAUGCUAAAUUGCGGGCGCGCUUGAAAAAAGAAACGACAGAAGCGACAGUUUUAAUUGUCGCACAAAGGGUUGGAACGAUUAUGCAUGCUGAUAAAAUCAUUGUCUUAGAUGAAGGCAAUGUGGUUGGCAUGGGAACCCAUCAAGAAUUACUGAAGAAUUGUACGGUCUAUUAUGACAUUGCAGCUUCUCAGUUAUCAGAGGAGGAAUUGGCGCAAUGAAAUCAUUCUCUUCUUUAAAACGAUUGGCACGGUAUUUGAAUCCAUAUAAAAUUACAGUCUUUCUCGUUUUAUUUUUUGUAGUUUUAACGGUGGCAUUAAACGCAGCGAUGCCUUACGUGCUG
rnacentral:rRNA from 1 species